GUUAAUUAUACAUAUGUUCGGUUAUCUUCGGAUAUCCAUUCGGGUUCGGGUAUUAUCCGUUCGGGUUCGGGUAUCCAAUCUCUCCUUAUUCAAUACCCGUUCGGGUAUUUUGCUACUUCGGUUCGGAUUUCGGUUCGGUUUUUUCGGAUCGGGUUCGGGUGCCACUUCGGAUAUCGGGUAAAGUGCCCACCCCUAGUUACGGAAGUCAUUUUAGUUGUACAAGUUUACUUAAUUACUCAAUUUCCAUACGAUUAAAACUUAAUCUAUUUUAUUAAAACAUAAACAUACUAAAGUAGAAACUCUAUAAAGUAAUAUUUGGUAAAUUAAUAAAUUUUCCGAUCCCAAAUUAGACUGGUUUAAAAUAUGACACAAAUCGAUAUAUAAUAAGAUAAUAACUUUUUAGAUAAUCCUAUGUAAACAUAUAGUCCCAUCAAAAUUAUAAAUUAAUAAUUUAUAUUUUAUUAUGUACAAUAUUCAAAACAUAAUUAUCUUUAUAUUUUCUUUAUAUUUAGUAUAUUUUGAUGAGAUUUAAUUAGUAAAUUAUAUAUAAAACCACAUUUAAAUUCUAUUAAAACAUAUUUAUAUACAUUAAAUAAUAUAAUAAAACAGUAUGAAUGUAAAAUUUUAAAUUUUUAAUUAAUGUAUGUAUACAACAGUCAAAUAUUUUUCUUAUUUAGAAAAAUAUAUUUAAAAUACAAAAAUCUGAAAAAGGACUUUUUGUAAAUUAAUAACUCUAUAAAUUAAUAAAAUAUCAUAGUCCUAAUAUUAUAAAUUUAUAGAGAUUUUACUGUAUAAAAAUAACUUUAUCUUUGCAUACGAUUUAUGGAAAAUGUCACUAUUCUUAAUGUUUUCGUUAAGGUUAAAACUGCUUUUCACUUUUAAGUCCAAAUGGUAUUAUAUGAAUGUCAUUGUACUGAUUACAGUAAAUACAUGCUAUAUACAUAAUCUCAAAUUAUCAUUAAUUGUAUAACUAAACUAAUUUUGUAGUAUGUAACUAAACCGAAAUUUACAUCAGUUUUUAAUGAAACCCUAUUCCUGCAGAAAUCCUAAUUUUUCCCAGUAACAUAUCAGUGACAAAUGUCAUGGCUGAUAAGGAUACGACCUUGAUAAAUUUCAUCUGGAAAAGUACCUAACAAACCCCAAUAUGAAAAUUGCAGUGAUUCAAAUAAUUUUGUAGUGUGUAACCAAAUAAAACACAUCAUUCAUUAUAGUAGGAUAAUUAUUUAAAUAAUAUAUUGUUCGUGUUCUGCUCGAUAUUGCUGCUGUCAAACAAGGGGAAGUACAUCAAAUGGUGUAGUCAAAAAAAAAAAUUACAUCAAAUUUAAUGUUUUUCUCCAUAGGAACUUAGAGGAAGAAGUAUACAUGAAGCUUCCACCGGAGUUUCAAGGAUCCAAUAAAGUCUGUCGUCUCAGAAAAUCUAUAUAUGGUCUUAAGAAAACUCUAAACUUAACAAUGCUUUGAAAUCCUACUCUGUUGCUUAAGUCAAGUAGACUACUCUCACUUCUCCUACAUUCGUGGCUCCAUCAACUUUCAUAUCAUCGUGUAUGUCCACGACUUCAUUAUUGCGAGUACUGAUCUUUCUACCCUUCAGAAAUUCAAGAACUAUCUCAGCCAAUAUUUUCAUACAAAGAACGACUACGGUAAAUUGAAAUACUUUUUGGAUAUUGACGUAGUUAGCAGUAGAGAAGAAAUAGUCUUAUCUCAAUGCAAGUAUGCCCUCAGAAUUAUCACCGAAACUGGCUUACUUGGCUCUAACCCUUCUACGGUUCCAAUAGAACUCAACCACAAACUCGCACUUGCAAUGGGCAAUUACUUCCCCGUCCGGUAUCCUAUCGGAGACUAGUUGGGUGUCUUAUUUACCUUAACUUUACAAGACCGGAACUGUGAUAUGUUGUUCAUGAACCAUAUUCUUUCACAGUUCAUAAAGGUACCACGACAAGAUCAUUUUGAUACUGCUCUAAGAUCCGUGAGGUAUCUUAAAGGCUCUCCUUUGCAAGGUGUUUUCCUUCGCUCAGACUCUACUCUUCAAGUAACAGCUUAUUGUAAUUCUGACUUGCAAUGAUGUCCAUUAACUCGACGUUCACUUAGUGCUUAUAUAGUAAUCCUUGGAGAUUCUCAUGUUUCUUGGAAGACCAAGCAACAAGAUAUUGUCUAUGUUUCUUCUGCAGAAUCAGAAUAUCGCUCCAUGGUUUAUACAUUACGAGAACUCAAAUGGAUGAAACAGUUGCUUCGAGCUUUCAGUAUUCAUCAUCCUCAGUCAAUGAAGCUCUUUUAGUAACUCGGUCGUAUACAUUGGGGUGAAUCCUGUUUUUCACGAGCGAACAAAACAUAACAUAUAGAAAGUGACUGUCAUCAAGUGUGAGAUACAGUUCCGACAAGCUCAUAACCACCUAACACAUUUUAACUAAAGAACAACCAAGGCGUUAACUUCCUCUACUUUCACUUACUUGUAGUUCAAGCUGUGGAUACGAGACAUUUCACCGCCAACUUGAAGGGGUAUAGACUAAACAUGAAACAACAUGUACUAUCAAGCGUUCAAUUACAUACGGAUGAAGACAUCCGGAUGCUUUCAUACUAGCUGUAAGAGAAUUUCAUGGCAACAGUUGUUGAGACCACGAUCCAUAUAAUUCAGAUAGUGGCAUUUAAUCAAAGUUACAUCAUUUCAACAGAUUAAACAAUGAUUAUUUUAAAAAUAAAGAAAAUACGGAUAUAUAAAAUGACUUUAAACGAUAAAGACAACGACAACCUUCCUUUGGUUAAAUAUCUCUUUUUAGUUAUCUAAGGUAAGAGGAUGAUUAAAAAAACAAUUGACUUGGAAAACAAAACUUAAAUAAAACAUACGGGGCAAUGCACAAUUGUGUCGACAUUAUGAACUUGGGUAACCGAGACAUAAAAGCAGAGAUAAUAAACAAUUAUACAAACUAACGAAAUUUUGACUAUAAAUAGAUCACCAUACAUGGAUAUGUCUCACAAAAACUAAGCUUACUGACAAGACAAACAAAAACAAGUUUAAGAAAGAGCAAAGCAAAACCAAAAGAAAUGGCGAAGAACCUUAGCUCCAUCACCUUUACCGUUCUAAUUCUCGUCCUCUUGAUGGCUUCAACCGAAAUCCUAAAAAUUGAGGCUAUGAACAUCAAGGCCAGAUGCCUUCCACAGGGAUGCAAAAAUGCUACAUUCUCCGAGGAGUGCGGGCCGGAGCCGUUCACAGGUUCAAAUAACGAUUGCUGUCACUGUUGCGUAGCCAAAUACGGGAGGAAGGCAGUCUGUAAAGGAGUUAUUGAGGGACCAGACAAACACUGUCAUUGCUACAAAGAACGUGUUUGACAAUUACCAAGUGUAAUUGUGUAGCUUUUGUAUUCAUUGGGUGUGAGGAGAUUACAUGUGUGUAUGUGUGUGUUCAACUUUCUUUUGCUUCCAAAUAAAACAUCAAUGGCAAAGCAUAUCAAUGCUUGCCCCGAACUGUAACUCUGUAAGCUCAUGUGGUGUGAAUUGUUUUGCUUCAUUCUGAAUGACUUUUUUUUUAUUGUGUUCCUCAUUUUAUCCCCGCCUACAUUCAAAAUUUUGUCCCGAGAAAAUCAUAUAUCAAUAUUGACUACAUCUUGACGUAUAGACUUGGAAUAGUAAGAACAAUAUUUAAGAGGAAGUAUCGUGUCAUUCAAUUUAUUAACUCAUGUACAAAUGUACUGACAGUUUUAAUCAAUCACUGAAACUGAGAAAGAUCAAUUCAAUAUAUGUUUCAAAUGGUGUCAAAAAGACUGCACAUUUAAAUAUAACUAGGUAAUAAUAUACGCCAUGCGCGGAAUAUGAUUACUAAUUUUGUUAUUUUUAAUAAAUAGACAUUAAAUCUAUUUAAUAUGGAUAUGGUCUGAUUUUAGUUUGUUUUUUUUUUGUUUUUAAUCUCCUAAAAUAUAGGUAUAAUUAUAAAUCAAUAUUUAUUUUAGUUUAUUCGGUUCAAAUUGUUGAUGUCUUUAAAAUUCGGUGAUAACCAAAAAUUAAUUUGUUUGAUUUCAAGUUAUAUGAAUUUUAUGUAGUCUUAAUGUGAAACCAAUGGUUUCAUAUUAUAGUUUCUAAGCAUAUAAUAGUUAAGGAAAAGGAAAAUAAAAUUAUUAAAACAAAUCAUUUCAUUACAAUUUGGUUGAUAGUAAAAGAAACAUUAAUAAAUAAUAUUUCAACUUCUAAGAUAAUUAGUUUGUGGUGAAUCUUUAGUUAUAUAGGAGCUCACAUCGAUAUCCGCAUGUAUGUGUAUGUAAAUUAUAUAAAAGUAGUUGGUAAAUACAUAAACAUAUGGUUAAUCAAUAUUAAAUGACAUUUUUAUUCAAAAUAACAUGUGAAAGAUAAAUUUAUUAAAAUACAAUUAAUUAAAAAUAAAAUAAGCUUAGACAUGGGAAAUUGCCACAAAUACCACAUUCAUAAUACCACUUUUCAUGUUUACACUAACCACUUUUAGCCUCAUUUUUAAUGAAGGGUAAAAUACAAUUAUACUCUUAGGUUUAACUAAUCUAGACUUAGG